AUUGAACGCUGGCGGCAGGCCUAACACAUGCAAGUCGAACGGUAACAGGAAGAAGCUUGCUUCUUUGCUGACGAGUGGCGGACGGGUGAGUAAUGUCUGGGAAACUGUCUGAUGGAGGGGGAUAACUACUGGAAACGGUAGCUAAUACCGCAUAACGUCGCAAGACCAAAGAGGGGGACCUUCUGGCCUCUUGCCAUCUGAUGUGCCCAGAUGGGAUUAGCUAGUAGGUGGGGUAACGGCUCACCUAGGCGACGAUCCCUAGCUGGUCUGAGAGGAUGACCAGCCACACUGGAACUGAGACACGGUCCAGACUCCUACGGGAGGCAGCAGUGGGGAAUAUUGCACAAUGGGCGCAAGCCUGAUGCAGCCAUGCCGCGUGUAUGAAGAAGGCCUUCGGGUUGUAAAGUACUUUCAGCGGGGAGGAAGGGAGUAAAGUUAAUACCUUUACUCAUUGACGUUACCCGCAGAAGAAGCACCGGCUAACUCCGUG
rnacentral:rRNA from 1 species